rnacentral:rRNA from 1 species
GCGCCUUGCCAGCCCGCUCAGAAACUUAAAGAAUUGGACGGGGGCCCGCACAAGCGGUGGAGCAUGUGGUUUAAUUCGAUGAUACGCGAGGAACCUUACCGUGGGCUCAAAUGUAUGUUGACGUUAUUCUGAAAGGGAUACUUCUUCGGACAAUAUACAAGGUGCUGCAUGGUUGUCGUCAGCUCGUGUCGUGAGAUGUUGGGUUAAGUCCCGUAACGAGCGCAACCCUUGUCCUUAGUUACCAGCACGUUAUGGUGGGCACUCUAAGGAGACUGCCGGUGUUAAACCGGAGGAAGGUGGGGAUGACGUCAAGUCCUCAUGGCCUUUAUGACCAGGGCUACACACGUACUACAAUGGCCGAUACAAAGGGCAGCGACACUGCGAGGUGAAGCCAAUCCCGUAAAAUCGGUCUCAGUCCGGAUUGGAGUCUGCAACUCGACUCCAUGAAGUUGGAAUCGCUAGUAAUCGUGGAUCAGCAUGCCACGGUGAAUACGUUCCCGGGCCUU